rnacentral:lncRNA from 1 species
AAAGACGCAUCAUAGCAACCAAAGAUUAACCACUGAGCAUCCACAUCCAUCUGAGCUCAGAGACAGCACUGAGAAAGGCCUGACCCAGGAGUAAAUGACUUGAAAGCAUGUGCCAAAUUAGAGGCUUCCUGGUGACCUCUGGGUGAAAGCAUUUGACAGCAAAGAACUCAGGGACCUUCCUCAAGAGGUUUGGACGACAUUGUGAGAGGACCACACUCCCCCUACACAAGGCAAGCUUUACGUCUUAUAUUCCAGUACAAGAAGUAAUAAAGAUUCAAGAUACCCACUGGAGGAGGGCUGUCUGCUCAGGAGAGGAGACUGGAGUAGUACUGCUGAACAUGACUUGGAAGACUUGAUUCUUGGAAGAGUUGGUAAUUUGCAGAGAAUAACAAAAACAUCUUGCAUACAUUAUAAGUACAGUUUUUAAAAUUAAAAAAAAAUUAUUGGUCCUUUGUGAAUUUCACACCAUGCAUUCCAAACCCACCCAUUUUACCCUUCAGUCCGGCAGCCUCCCCCUACCCAAAAGUGAA